rfam:Clostridium paraputrificum strain 373-A1 CP373A1_21, whole genome shotgun sequence.
AUAGAAACACAGGGGUGCUUAAAUUGGUAAGCUGAGAGUGAAAGCCUUAUACUUUCUAACCCUAGGAACCUGUUUGGUUAAUACCAGCGUAGGAAGUUGUUAAUGUAAUUUGA